rnacentral:tRNA from 1 species
GGCUGGUUGGCUCAGUGAGUAGAGCAUGAGACUCUUGAUCUUGGGGUCAUGAGUUCAAGCCCCAUGCUGGAUA